rnacentral:rRNA from 1 species
CCUACGGGGUGCAGCAGUGAGGAAUAUUGGUCAAUGGCCGAGAGUCUGAACCAGCCAAGUCGCGUGAGGGAAGAAUGUCCUAUGGAUUGUAAACCUCUUUUGUCAGGGAGCAAAGUCACCCACGUGUGGGUGUUGGAGAGUACCUGAAGAAAAAGCAUCGGCUAACUCCGUGCCAGCAGCCGCGGUAAUACGGAGGAUGCGAGCGUUAUCCGGAUUUAUUGGGUUUAAAGGGUGCGUAGGCGGGUUAUCAAGUCAGCGGUAAAAUCGUGGAGCUCAACUCCAUCCAGCCGUUGAAACUGAUGAUCGUGAGUGGGCGAGAAGUAUGCGGAAUGCGUGGUGUAGCGGUGAAAUGCAUAGAUAUCACGCAGAACUCCGAUUGCGAAGGUAGCAUACCGGCGCCCGACUGACGCUGAAGCACGAAAGCGUGGGUAUCGAACAGGAUUAGAUACCCUAGUAGUC